CAGUGUGUACGAAUGGACUGUUCAAACCGUCUUUGAACUUCAGGUUCUUAGUGCAACACCAGCAGAAUCCUGGUGGGUGGUUGAUUGUUCUUUU